GAUGAAGAACGUAGCGAAAUGCGAUAAGUAAUGUGAAUUGCAGAAUUCCGUGAAUCAUCGAAUCUUUGAACGCACAUUGCGCCCGCCAGUAUUCUGGCGGGCAUGCCUGUUCGAGCGUCAUUUCAACCCUCAAGCCCCCGGGCUUGGUGUUGGGGAUCGGCCGCCCUCUCCGGCGCGCCGGCCCCGAAAUCUAGUGGCGGUCUCGCUGUAGCCUCCUCUGCGUAGUAGCACACCUCGCACCGGAACGCAGCCUGGCCACGCCGUUAAACCCCCCACUUCUGAAGGUUGACCUCGGAUCAGGUAGGAAUACCCGCUGAACUUAAGCAUAUCAAUAAGCGAGGA
rnacentral:misc_RNA from 1 species